GUUCCCUCCUCAGGACGGUCCUGCAGGUGAAACAGACACGAUCCAUCAGAACUCCCAAGUGUUCCUGACGAGAACGGGCCGAGUCUCUGAAGAGGAUUACAGAGGAAACCACCUCUGCAGAAGGUUUCAUUACAACCCGACAGGUUUCUCCCAGUGGAUGAAGUGGAGGAAACCUCCAGUUUCAGUGAAAUUUAUUCUGGAAUGAACAUCCUGAUGGAGCGUUUGGAUUCAAGCUGGAGUUUUCUCCUUUUGGCAUGAAAAUAAAU